rnacentral:piRNA from 1 species
ACAAUCUUGACUGAGGUUCAUGGAGCU